rnacentral:lncRNA from 1 species
CUUUGUCCUGUGAGAACACUUUCCCCCAGCAGGCCAGCAGCCAGGCCCAGGGCUUUGGCAGCUGAGUGACUGUCCGGCUUUUACAGAGAGAACUUGACACUUUGUGCCCAGAAAGGCUGGGCCAGAGGAUUUCCCAGGCACAAAGGGUGUGUCCUUGGAGAGAUCAGCCGGGAAAGGGACGGGGUCAACCCCAGGAGAAGAGACCACAGCACUUUAUCAGACAAACAUGGCUGCAAGGUAUGGGCUCCCGGCUGAGCCGAGGGAAGAGAGAGGCCUGGGUACAGCGCACAUCAGCAGAGCUGACCAGGAAGCACUGCUGGAAGAUGAGGGCCACACCCAAGAAGAAGCACGGAGGGCGAAAGCUCUUGGUGGAGCUCUGAGCACUGAGGAGGCUUCUGGGUCAACUGCCACCGCUCCCAGCACAGAGGAGGCUUCUGGGUUGAUGUGCUACAGCUCCCAGUGCAGAGGAAGCUUGCAGAUCGAUGUGCCACAUCUCCCAGUGCAGAGUGAGGGGCUUCCAGGCCAACCUGCUGCUGCUCCCAGCACAGAGGAGGUAAGCCACCUGGAUGGCAGGAACACACCCCCACACCACCUCCAUUGAAAUGAGAAGACAGGUAAACAAGCCACAGAACCAGACUUCCAGAUCACCUACAGCAACCCCAAAGGGAAAUGAGAUGGACCACUGUGAUACUCAACCACCUGGACUUCCUGAACUGGCAACAAAAGAGGAUCUGGAAAAAAUGAAAUAAGAAAUAAUUUCU